rnacentral:rRNA from 1 species
GACGUAGGAUGCAAGCGUUGUCCGGAUUUAUUGGGCGUAAAGAGUUCGUAGGUGGUUUGUUAAGUCUGAUGUUAAAGACUGGGGCUCAACCUCGGAAAUGCAUUGGAUACUGGCAGACUUGAGUGUGGUAGAGGCAAUCGGAAUUCCAGGUGUAGCGGUGAAAUGCGUAGAUAUCUGGAAGAACACCCGUGGCGAAAGCGGCUCUCUGGAACGGUACUGACGCUGAGACGCGAAAGCGUGGGGAGCGAACAGG